UACGGAGGAUGCGAGCGUUAUCCGGAUUUAUUGGGUUUAAAGGGUGCGUAGGCGGACGCUUAAGUCAGCGGUAAAAUUGCGGGGCUCAACCUCGUCGAGCCGUUGAAACCGGGUGUCUUGAGUGGGCGAGAAGUACGCGGAAUGCGUGGUGUAGCGGUGAAAUGCAUAGAUAUCACGCAGAACUCCGAUUGCGAAGGCAGCGUACCGGCGCCCAACUGACGCUGAAGCACGAAGGCGUGGGUAUCGAACAGG
rnacentral:rRNA from 1 species